UUCGGGACUCUCGCGACAAAAAAGAAAACAGGAAAGCACACCCAAAUCACAAAGUGCAAUAAAUACAUGCUGAAUGGUUCUUAUAGGCGCCUCGCACACACCAGCGUCAUCACCAGUCUCAACAGAUUCACUGAAAAACAAAAAUCAAACAAGGAAAUAAAACUUCAAUAACAAAGAAGAAUCACAACCUACACGGUAAAAACGAUAAUAAUCACGUCUGACUAAGAGCACGUUGCUUCUCCGAGUGAUAAGGAUUUAUCCGAGCAAAUAUCUACCUUCCUUCAUCCAGCUGACUUUUUUGCACAAAGAGGUACAAGUGCGUCUUUUUGAUUGCAAACAUUCUGUCAAUCAGGACGUUUUGAUGAAUUAAAAAAAAUACAGAACAUGGACUUGCGCACAGUAGAGGAAAACCAAACAGAAACAUAAUUUAAGUGGCAACAAAAAGUUAAAAUUCCAGCUUCUUUCAUAACCAGAUAUGGAGAUUUGACAGAGACAGAUUAAAAAAAAAAAGGUUUCCAUAGUGAUGACCCAACAGGGAAGCCCCGGGACACAUUCACACUGCAGGUGCAUCUUCUGUUUCACUCACAUCAUCAUCACAGCAACUGUGACUUAUUUUCUCAACCGGACACACGUCUGCCAAACCGCUCUAAUCUAGACGACAAACUCUGCCAGAAAUGACGAAAAGCUGCAGUUUAGUAUUAAACCGUCUGAUUAAAAAGUUACAUCCAAAUGAUGUCUGCCUCUAAAAUAACAGCAGAGGGCGCUGCUGGCAUUCAUUUUAAAUAAAACCGGUAUUUUAAAUAACAGUGAGAACUAAAGCGUCAAAUUCAUUUCCACAGUAUCACAUCAUAUCCAAACUGCUGCUCCAAGCUUCCCCUUUUAAGAUGCUUUCAGUCAUUGAGUGUAAUUACAUUGUUGUUUUAUUAGGCACGAGGUUAUUCGUGCACAGACUUUUCCAAGAUGCUUUCAGUCAUUAAUUGAGUGUAAUUACAUUGUUGUUUUAUUAGGCACGAGGUUAUUCGUGCACAGACUUUUCCAGUUAAAAACCUUUCGCCAAAGUCAUCCCCACAUCUCAAAAGCAUCCAUGUGUCUGUCACAGCCAGGUGAAGCGUGGGCACCCCCUCAGUCUUCUCCAGCCACAGGGGUCCCCAACACUCAGGCAUGAUGUGCUGGAUCAUGCACAGCGAUACGUGCCACAUGACCAAAAUGUCAACACUGAUGCUCCCUCACAAUACAAGUCAAAUUCAUCAUUUUAGCCUCCACGUAGUAACCACUCAUUUGAUUGUCGGAAGAGAUCUAGUACCGAAGAAAUCCAGUUGUUUCCUUCGGUCAGUGGACAGCAUCUGAUUCUCACAACCACACAGUGAGACAGGAAGCACCAGGACCCUAAAGACGUCACCAAACACUCCUGUCCAGAGACUUCAUGAAAUUACUCAAUCACAAUUAUUAUUAAAAAUUAUAUAAUCACCACACACACAGAUGAUGUUCACCCAAUCUUCUGACUUUGUAGCAAAUAAAUCACAAAUAUGAAAUAAAAACUUUUAAUAGCUAAGGGUUGCAUCUUCUUUAAACAUACCUCAAACUAGAGAAAUGGUGUGUGUGCGUGUGUUUAUACUCAUAUAGUACAGCAUAAUUGAAUAUGAUGAUGUGAAUUAACGGCAUAUUGGUUUACAUAUUAAGUAGAAUAAAGAAUUAUUAAUAUUAACAUCAACUUCAUGUAGCAAUUGUAUAAUUUUUCUCCCCCCCACCCGGAGUCAAAGAGCCAUGUGCCCUGACAAUGCAGAUUGUGCAGUACCCUUCACUCGGGCCUCCAUAAGUAACUACUGAUUUAACACAAAAUCGUUCCAGUGGUACCCAACAAUUGUCCAGAAAGACCUAGUAUCAAAUAUGUCUAGUCAUGGCCUUGGGUCACUUGAUGGAGUCACAAUCAUACAAUAAGACUGGAUGUACAAGGACAUCAAAGAUUUGGACCUUUGUCCAGUUCUGAAGACAUCGGCAUCUCCAAAAGUCUCUCUCCGGGGAUCUCGUGAACCCAAAAACUCUUCCCAGUCAUCUCUCAAUCUCAAUGGCCAAGCUUUCAGACACAUGAAUGUGACUGCUGAGACAACCAAAACUCUCAAGUUCAACACUUUGACCACAUACAGAUACACUUCCAACAGCCAAAGCCACUGAAAGCCUAGAUUUUAGUCUUGAUCCAAGACGAAUGCAAAUCCAGACACUUCAACUCUUCACUUAGCUUCUCAAGUGACACAAUCAAGGUAUCCUUUAAUUCCACAACACUGUCUACAAAGUUGGAGUCAGUGAAUCUUUCUUCAGUGACAACAUCACCCAAAUUGCUGCAGUCCAGGACCUUAUCCAGCACCAGGUCCAUCAAGGCACACAAGGAAUACAGCGGGUGCCAGAACAACUCUGUUGUGAAGGACAGAAUUCACUGGAACUUAUCAUAAAACAAUGUCUUGGUUUGGGGGACCACACCGUAUCAUUCCCUCUGUAAGCAGACCAAGGGUCACUAGACCACAGGCAGUGUGCUACCUGUUCACAAAUUCCACUAUCAAAUGUCAUGACAAUCCUGUGUUAUCACAGACCACUCUCUCAGCUCCUUACACACUCCAGAAUUUCCACCAAGUCAUGUAGUACUUCACUGGAUGAUAUUCAGAUCACCCAUUGACAAGAAACACCUUCUCCUGGGAAAACCAACACAAUCCCUGGCAACUUUGAGGGACUUGUCAUGAAAGAACUCCUGCAUUCCAUUCAGGACAUCUGUUGUAUCUUAGUUUGGAAAUCUUCUACCCACCCAGAUCACAUGCAAAACUCUGCAAAAGAGUCCAAGAGACCAGACCAAAAGUAUAUGCAUCCUCCCAUUGAGACGUGGAGCUCACUAAGCUCCUUCAACAGCAGCGGAAGAUGGUCAUCUUUACUGAAAAAAAGGAUGUUCAAGGUGUCCACCUGCAUGAACUUCAUUUUUUAAUAACUGUCCUCUGUCACAAAGUCAAGUCAAGUCAAGAACAUUACCUAAAUCUAUCUGAUACUUUCUGAGGUAUUUUGACCACAAACAGAGAUGAAAAGUAAAAAUAAAAAAAAAUAAAGGACUGUCUGCACUAAAUUCCUGAGGUUUUUUUUUUCCGGUGAUAAUAAAAAGAACAGAACAGCAGAGUGGACGCGUGACUGACUGGGAACUAAACCUGUGGAACUUUUUUAUAAUCCCGAAUUUAUCAACACGUACACAACUCUUUAUUAAAACAGUUCUUAAAAUAAAAACCCGGGGCCUCAUUUAUCAUCCAUUUGUAUGCACAGAUUUGUGCUUUAACCGUUAGUACAAACAUCUCCAAACUUGCAAAGUAUGAAUUUAUGGACUUGUUCUUGAAUUUAGAAAUGUGUGUAAAUAAUCACACAGCUCUGACCAUGCCUACACGCACCAUCUAGUGGUAGAACAGAGGAACUGCAAAAGCAUGCAUCCUCAUCCACAUAUGUUCAUUCUCUUAGUCAUUAUUCUGGUGAGGAACACAAGCUACAGACAGAUGUUUUGUUACCAUAAAUGGAUAAUUGAGGGUGUUGCUGAAUGACCAUGAAUGUGCUUACGAACGUACGGGUUUAUCAACAGCUGAUACUGAUGUGCGAACAAAUAGCGUCCACCUAUUUGGUAAAUAUGGAUUUUUUUUUUUUGUACUCCACACAUACAAAAUUUUGUUUGUAGGACAACAUUUAGAAUUGUUUCUGUGCAGAGAUGGAUUAACGAGGGUGCUGGGUCUCAUCUCAUUUGAAACCUUAUGGUCAAGAAUCUGGCGUGCACAUCGUUGUCCUUGUAAACACAGGAGAAGCCAGACACCUCAAAGAUUUCGAUUUUGGACUUUUUUUUUUUUUUUUUGCUUUUUCAGAUGAGUUCAGAGAACCAAAGCCUUCAGACUGGCAUCAAAUUCAACAUUUUGCAGCAAAAACUGGAUCUGACCUGGAAACCAGAAGUGACAGUGAAACUCCUGCAGUGUGAAAGUUCUCGCAGCUUUUCAGCAGCCCUGAAUAACGUCCCACUGUCCAGUUCAACAAGCAGGAAAACAACAGCUGAGGAUUUGUUUGAGGAAAAAAAACAAAAAAAAAAAAACAAAAGUGAGUCAAAAACUAUGAGAGAACUAAUUCAGUAUUUUGACAUCAGUCAAAAUUUUAAAGCACUAGGCGGUGCUCUGCCACCUCAGGAGCUGCAAAUAAGCAUCAAAGCAAACACCAAUUCCUGUCAUUUCUGCAGUUUUUCAUCUAAAUUAGUAAUACAUCAGCUUAUGAUUUGGCAUUUCCUGAAUUUCACAAUUCUCAUAACUUUGACUCGUUAGGUCAUACUCCAGUUGUAAGGGGAUAUAUUUAUUUUAAAAACAGAUUUUCAUAAUUGCAUCCUGACCAACUAUUAUUUUAAUUUUUUGGUAGAAAAAGAUUUCCAUAUUUUAUCUGGUGUAUGUAACAGCGACAUGUUUAUUAUAGAUGUGGUGAAAAUAAUCGCUGUCUGUAAGUGCUGGAACCCGUCUGUGGCUGGGACGAGACUUUCAUGUACUUAAAAUAAAAUAUUUUGCAGAAUUCAUCAUUGAAAGUGAGGGUCAUUUUCAGAAUAUUUUACAUAAAACUCAAUGUUUACUUCAUAGGGCCUUGUUUGUGUUAAGGUGAAGCUAAACAUUCACACGUUCAUUGGACAGGAGCAGGAGACACACAUUUUCGGUUUCAAGGUCAACUCUCCACUGGAUCACAGCCCUGGCUCAAGCACCUUCAUGAAAACAAGAAGGUCUAGAACGAUACCAGAGAACCAACCCACAAAGCGUAUGCUCAGCAUGGUGACCCAACAAGACCAGAA